CAGACUUUCUACAGCAACAUGAAGGUGGGGGGCUUCCUCCUCCUGGUGAUGCUCAUCACCCUCAGCUUGGAGGUGCAGGAGCUCCAGGCUGCGGUGAGGCCACUGAAAUUGUUGGAUGAAGAUUUAUCUUAAGGGUCAUCCUUCUCUAAUAAUUUCUCAUCACUUCCUAUCUUCAAAGAUGUGACUGGAACUCCUUGCCCUGGAAGACAGAUGAAAAUGGGGACCUGUGGAUGGAGAUUACAUGUGGUGGGGAAGGAAAAAGAGUCACUUCUUUCAAUAAAUCAUCAUUGUUAAAAGUA